AACUUGGCGCAGUGGCGAUAUCGUAACCAAUGAGGUACAACCGAGGUGCGAUUAUUGCUAGUUGAAAACUAAAACAUUUUUGAAUAAGAUCGAUUUUUUCCGUCUUUUUUAGGGAUUUUUUAUUAUCGGAUUUUUGA